CCCAGCAAAAGUUACUCUUUCACACCCUCCUCUUUGCUUUAUCAUUGUAUUAUAGCCACUACAGCAUCCUGUUGCCCAGCCCACUUGGUUUCUGCUGAACUAGUGGAAGGUGAUGGAGUUCCCCCCCUUCUCACAGCCCUGAACGGUGCACGGCCCCAAAGUUGACCCAGGCUAACAAUAUGAUAUUCUGAGAUAAAGGCUGCACGUUCUAAAAAAGUAGGUGUUUGCAUGUUGUGUGUUUUAAACCUACAGUUAUGUUACUGAGAAAUGUUUAUAAAAAGAUACAAUACACUGGCCUAUAAAAAUAGUAAUUUAUCCACGGGCUUUUCAACAGCAUCUUCUUCUCAGUUACAAUGGCAUCUCUAAUAUAAUAAUAUUUAUAUUCAUGCAAGGAUUGAAGAAUUUGGCCCUUUUCUCUCAUAUCUGAGAGAAAAUACAUUACAUCAAAUACAUUACUUUAUAAAGGACCAACUCUGAUUACAAUCGGUAGGAGGACAAAAGUGUCUUGAUGUCAAAGGUGCUACUGACUUUAUUCACACUAGUCUAUCCAUGUGUAAAAUUCUGAAAAGCUGUAACUGAAAAGAGCCAAUAACAAACCCCACUGCUUCACUAGUUACCUUAACUAUCUACAGGGAUUUCAAUGGAUAGUAAUCAAACAUGUUACAUCUAAAUGUAAAUUUGUUUAAAUUGCAAGCUGCCUAAAAUAUCUUCAUGUUUCUAAAUAGGAUAAAAAAGAAAUCAGCUUACCAGGCCUCAAGUGAAUUGUAGAGACUGAUAUGAAAAGCCUAAAAAAUGUAGAUCAAUAGAACUUUUUCACAUAAUGCUGUUAUAAGAUACUGGGUUUUAACAACUAUCAAUAAAAAUAUCUUAAUAU